UACGGAGGGUGCGGGCGUUAAUCGGAAUUACUGGGCGUAAAGCGCGCGUAUGCGGUUUUAUAAGUCGGAUGUGAAAUCCCCGAGCUCAACUUGGGAACUGCAUUCGAUACUGUCUAACUAGAGUAUGGUAGAGGAAAGUGGAGUUCCCGGUGUAGCGGUGAAAUGCGUAGAUAUCGGGAGGAACAUCAGUGGCGAAGGCGGCUUUCUGGACCAAUACUGACGCUGGGGCGCGAAAGCGUGGGUAGCAAACAGG
rnacentral:rRNA from 1 species